AUUGAACGCUGGCGGCAGGCCUAACACAUGCAAGUCGAGCGGAUGAAGGGAGCUUGCUCCUGGAUUCAGCGGCGGACGGGUGAGUAAUGCCUAGGAUUCUGCCUGGUAGUGGGGGAUAACGUCCGGAAACGGGCGCUAAUACCGCAUACGUCCUGAGGGAGAAAGGGGGGGAUCUUCGGACCUCACGCUAUCAGAUGAGCCUAGGUCGGAUUAGCUAGUUGGUGGGGUAAAGGCCUACCAAGGCGACGAUCCGUAACUGGUCUGAGAGGAUGAUCAGUCACACUGGAACUGAGACACGGUCCAGACUCCUACGGGAGGCAGCAGUCGGGAAUAUUGGACAAUGGGCGAAAGCCUGAUCCAGCCAUGCGGCGUGUGUGAAGAAGGUCUUCGGAUUGUAAAGCACUUUAAGUUGGGAGGAAGGGCAGUAAGUUAAUACCUUGCUGUUUUGACGUUACCAACAGAAUAAGCACCGGCUAACUUCGUG
rnacentral:rRNA from 1 species